rnacentral:rRNA from 1 species
AGGACGAACGCUGGCGGCGUGCUUAACACAUGCAAGUCGAACGGAAAGGCCCUUCGGGGUACUCGAGUGGCGAACGGGUGAGUAACACGUGAGCAAUCUGCCCCUAGCUCUGGGAUAGCUCCGGGAAACCGGGAUUAAUACCGGAUACGACCACAGCCGACAUCUGCUGUGGUGGAAAGGAUUCCGGCUAAGGAUGGGCUCGCGGCCUAUCAGCUAGUUGGUGGAGUAACGGCCCACCAAGGCGACGACGGGUA